GUCCUCCACCAUCCUGGGCACCAAGAGCCUGGCUGUGCCGGGGCUCCCUUUGGUCUGGGCCAAGAGCAGGCCUCAACUGUGCCAGGCCCCCCUCCAGCCCAGGCCCCAAAGCAGCCCCAACUGUGCCAGGCACCUUUCCAGCUCGGGCCCCAAAGCAGCCCCAACUGUGCCUGGUCCUCCUCCAUCCUGGGCCCCAAGGUCCAGGAUGUGCCGGGGCGCCCUUUGGUCUGGGCCCAGAGGAGGCUUCAACUGUGCUAGGCCUCCCUCCAGCUCGGGCCCCCCCAGUGCAACCCCAACUGCACCUGGUCCUCCUCCAUCCUCAACCCCAACACAGCCCCAACUGAGCCUGGUCCUUCUCCAUCCUGGACCCCAAAGCAGCCCCAGCUGUGCCAUGUCCUCCUCCAUCCUGGGACCAAGGGCAGCCCCAACUGUGUCUGGUCCUACUCCAUCCUAGGACCCAAGGCCCAGGCUGUGCCGGGGCUCCCUUUGGUCUGGGAAAAGAGCAGGCCUCAACACUGCCAGGCUACCCUCCAUCCUGGGCCCCAAAGCAGCCCCAACUGUGCCUGCUCCUCCUCCAUCCUAGGCCCCAAAGCCUGGGCAGUGCCGGGGCUCCCUCUGGCUCUGGGCCAAGAGGAGGCCUCAACUCUGCUAGGCCCCCCUCCAGCUCAGGCCCCCCCAGUGCAGCCCCAACUGCACCUGGUCCUCCUCCAGCCUGGGCCCCAACACAGCCCCAACUGAGCCUGGUUCUCCUCCAGCCUGGGCCCCGAGGCUCUACCUGUGCCUGGGCCCCCUUCCUUCUGGGCCCACACCAGGCCUCAACUGUGCCAGGCCCCCUCCAGCCUCUGGCCCCGAGGCCACCACUGUGCUGGACCACCCUCCGGCACAGGCCCUGCCCCAAGCCCUGCCCCCUGUGGACAGCUCUGCUCUUUGCCUGCUUGGUUUUUGUUCUCUCUUCACUCU
rnacentral:lncRNA from 1 species